rnacentral:rRNA from 1 species
UACGUAGGGUGCGAGCGUUGUCCGGAAUUAUUGGGCGUAAAGGGCUCGUAGGCGGUUUGUCGCGUCGGGAGUGAAAACGCCGUGCUUAACACGGCGCUUGCUUUCGAUACGGGCAGACUAGAGGUAUGCAGGGGAGAACGGAAUUCCUGGUGUAGCGGUGAAAUGCGCAGAUAUCAGGAGGAACACCGGUGGCGAAGGCGGUUCUCUGGGCAUUACCUGACGCUGAGGCGCGAAAGCGUGGGGAGCAAACGGG